UCCAGACUCCUACGGGAGGCAGCAGUGGGGGAUAUUGCACAAUGGGGGGAACCCUGAUGCAGCGACGCCGCGUGGGUGAAGGAGCGUUUCGGCGCGUAAAGCCCUAUCGGCAGGGAAGAAGGAGGACGGUACCUGACUAAGAAGCCCCGGCUAACUACGUGCCAGCAGCCGCGGUAAUACGGAGGAUGCGAGCGUUAUCCGGAUUUAUUGGGUUUAAAGGGUGCGCAGGCGGAGGCACAAGUCAGCGGUAAAAUCGCGGGGCUCAACCCCGCUCCGCCGUUGAAACUGUGUCCCUUGAGUGCGCGAAGGGUAGGCGGAAUGCGUGGUGUAGCGGUGAAAUGCAUAGAUAUCACGCAGAACUCCGAUCGCGAAGGCAGCCUACCGGCGCGCAACUGACGCUCAUGCACGAAAGCGUGGGUAUCGAACAGGAUUAGAUACCCCUGUA
rnacentral:rRNA from 1 species